GUGGCUGGAGAUGGUGGAGGGAUGGCGCAGUGAAGGUGGAGAUGGAUCGAUGAUGGUGGAUGCUGGUGAUGGCGCGGUGGCGCGGCUGCGAUGGAUGGAUGGUGUAGGGGGAGGAGAGUGAUGGCGCGAGGUGGUUCUGGUGGUGAUGGUGAUGUGGUGGGAGCGCGAUGGCAUGGGUGGAGGUGCUGCGGGGUUGUGGAGCAGGUGGAGGUGCUGGGUGGCGUGCCGCCACGCCGGCCUGGCCGCGACGGCGGCCGGAGGUGGAAGAAGGAGGCGGGGGAAAGAGGGGAUGGAGAUGCCAAGCACGAAAGGGGAUUAGCUCUCGCUAGGGAUUUUGACCCCUCCUCUGAUCUGCCACUUUGCAAUUUUGGCCCUUCUCCUUUUCUUCUUUCUUCAUAAGAAGGUCCCUUUCUUCUUUAACUUGUCCCAUGGAGCAUCAUUUCUUCACACACAAGUCCCUCUGUCUUUCUUCUUCCUUUUCACUUGACUGGUUCUCUUAGCCACUAGUCCAGAUCUUGAAGUUUAUAGUGCCUUUGCGCACUUUUUCUGCAAAAGAAACACAAUGACUAGUAAAUGAUACUUUAUAUGAUUUUCAUGCAAAUAUUCAAUAUUUCACAGCAAGAAUUGAUGGUCAUAUCUCAAUAAAUAAUAUAUUUCUAUGCCAAAAUUGUAUAUAUGAAAUGUGCUUAUCAAGUUCCCCCACACUUAAACUUUUGCUUGUCCUCAAGCAAAGACACAUGACAAGAGCAAGAAUGUGAACAGUGAGCUGACUAGAGAAUACCAAGUGAAGUAGAUCUCUAAACAGUGCAUGCUUUGGACUUAGCUAGUAAAAAUUAAUGGUUAGGAGUGCUUCAAAGUGGUAGGAUACUAGUAAGCAUGACCAUUUUAAACUUUUGCAAUGAUAAAAGAGGAUCAACAAGUUUAAAUGAUGACUGCACCAAAUGGUUCCUAAAGAGAGCAUGAUCCCGAGAACAAAAAGAACUGGAAUUAAAUCUCUUAUUUGCAGAAAUAUGACUUUGUGGUUGAACCACUUAUUAAAUUUUAAGGAAGUAAUGAUAAUAUUUUAUCAGUCUCACCAAAGGAACAUACCACCGAUCCCGAGAACAUGGUAUACACCUGGCUCGACCAAUUAUUAGUUUUUUUAGUUUGUUUGUCUCCCCAAAGGAACAUACCACCGAUCCCGAGAACAUGGUAUACACCUGGUUCGACAAUUAUAUUUUUAUUAUUAUUAAUUACUGCCCAAGCUAACCCGAUUUCACAUGCCAUCGAUCCCGGGAACAUGACAUGCUACUGUAGGUAGCCAGACUUAUUUAUUCAUUAGUACUUAUCUUAAAUGAACAACGAAUAAGAAAAAAACAUGAAUCAUCACUUCUCCAUGUCUGGUUCACAUGCUACCGAUCCAGGGAACAUAGCAUGCUAAUCCAUAGUGGUUAGGUGAUUGCUCUCAAUGGGAAGACACUUGGCACAAAAUCAGCAUCUAAACGUGGUGAUCUAGGUGUAUCAUAGUAAAUGCAGAAAAUGACGAAGUUUUCUAGUGUACUAGGGAUUUGAGCACUCAAAACUAGUAGUUCUCACUAAUUUUAGCAAAGCAUGCAUGGUGUAGAUCACUAGUUUACAAGGCAUUCAAAAAUCAAGUUCACAAAUUCAAAUCAAGCACAAUGCCAAAGGUGAGAUUCAGCUUGACAACAAGUAAUAACUGGCUCAAGCAACCCAACUAGCAAUUGAAUUCAGCAUGUAUUUAUGAUAUUCAGAAUGGGUCAUGAAACAGCUCAUCGGGCUUAAUGAAGUAGCACUCGCUUGAUCACCUCACCAACUGCAGCUCUUCUCCUUUCCUUCCUCAUGGAUGCUCCAGCUUCACUCUUCUUCGUGUGUGCCCCAUUGCUUCUCCUCAUCGCCAUGCUUUGAGUCCACCAGGAUCCCAUGGGAUGUCAUCUCAAACUUGGUCAGCCCACAAUGAAUGGUACACAAGCGUAAACCUGAAAGAACACUCAACAAACAAGCCAAUACAAAUGAUAGGGACAAUGCCCUCUAAGUCAUCAAUAGAGUAUCCUAUCACAUAAGCAUAUCUAAGCAUAUGACAAAUAGAUAUCAUCAAUAGACCGCAUGGUGCAUAGGCAGUAUCCAUGAUAUGGCAUAUCUUGUCAAGAAAGCUGAGAUCAUACCUGAGAUAGUUAGGAAGAACCUUCAGGACUACCUCAAUUGAAGAUACCAAGUGAGGUGUGCUUGUAGAAAUUUCCACUGGACUCAUGUCAACACGUGAAAUAGUAGAGCUUGGCUCCUUGACAUCUGAAUCCACCUCAUCAUAAUCAAUCAUGAAGCUCUCCAUCUCAGGCUCAAGUGUUGAGGAAUCAAUGUAGCUGACAUCAUCGAAGGAGAACUUCUCCAUAUCUGGCUCUACCAGCACAUGCUCAAUAUGAACUAAAGGUGACUCCUCAAUAUCAAAAGCAACUAACUGCAGCUCCGGCUCAUCCAUGGAAGAAUCAUCACAAUGCAAAACUGAAUCUCCAACACUAGUAUCCAUGUGAUUUGUAGCGCGUGUGUCAACUAGAAUGGUGUCAUCAUCGUCAAAGAUAAUCCAUGCAAGCUCAAUCUUGUCACACUGAGAUAGAGGUUCAGGAUUUUGUGUAAGAAUUGGCGGCUGAGGUGUAGUGAUUUGUUGCAAGCAAACCAAUGAAUCAGAGGUGGGCUUAUCAUUGUACCACUGAAGUUGGUGGAAAGCUAUGCUCUCAAUCAGCAGAAAAGCAUCAUCAAGUGUCUUGUUUGUAAUAGCUCCGCCCGCUGCCAUAUCGACAUAAGCUCGAGUGUCCCAAGUCAAUCCUCUAUAGAAUAUCUGCAGCUCUAACCAUCUCUCGAGCCCGUGGUUAGGACAUCUCCUGAAUAAAGCCUUGUAUCUCUCCCAAGAAUCAUACAAGCUCUCGCCUUCACGCUGAACGAAGCUGAGGAUCUCAUCUCGAAUUGCGGACUGCUUGUGUACUGGGAAAUAUUUAUCCAAGAAAGCUUAUGAUAUCUCAUUCCAACUGAAUGAUCUUGAUGGCAAGGAUCGAUACCAAGCACGAGCAUCAUCCCGGAGAGAGAAUGAGAACAACAUGCACUUGAUAGCAUCUUGAGGAACUCCAUGGUACUUUACUGUAUCUGAAUACUCCAUGACUGGGAGCAAGUGCUCGUAAGGAUCUUCAUUAGGCAACCCUCCAAACUGAUGUUGUUGAACCAAAGCAAUAAGACAAGGCUUCCGCUCAAAAUUCUCUACCUCAAUAGUUGGCCAAACUGGUCCUGUGAUAUAACAUUGACUACUUGGCAUCCAAAGAUCACGAAGCAAUGCCAUAUCUUAACCAAGUGUAACUAUAGAACAACCUGCAAAGAUUUAUGAUUCCCUACACACAUUCAUAAACAUUAAACACUAGUCAGAAGGUUAGUAUCCUAAUAAGCCGAAGCAACAAUGGGGGAAAAUAGAAGAAAAACACUGAAGAUGAAAUGCACGACGAAUUGAACAAGGAACUAAAGUAAACCUAGCCUAUAGCCUAACACAAUCGCUCGACGCUAGUCCCCGGCAACGGCGCCAAAAUAAUCAGUUGUAAGUGUAGCGGGAUUUUUACGCCCCAAACUACGAGUGUCGUGUUCUCCUCAGGGACUAGGCGACGGCAACUAUAUUCGGCUAAAGCAUGGUAAUACAAUUCAGAUGAAGGGAACAGAAAAUAAACCUAAACUAUCAAGAUUGUCGCCAAUGAAAAUGCGGACAAGCAAAGGUAGAUACCGAUUUUACUAACUUUCUUUUUGGUAUUUUUGUAAUACUUGAGAAAUUAAGAUACUAACACAAGCUAACAUCAAUGACAAGAGAAGUAGAAAGGACAUGAACAUAACACACACAUAUGUGUAUAUAUCACAAGAACAAUAAACUGGAAACUAAUCAUCAGCAAGUACAGAAUAUAUAUGACAUAUAUAGCUAGAUCUCAUACAUUCGAAAUGAGGGACACAAUGUAAUAGUACAAACUGUCACUGGUCAACAAAAUAAGUAAGAAACACACAUGUCUUCGGACUGAACAAGUGUCAUCAUCACACAACAAUCACUCACUCACACACACACAUAUUUAUAUAACACUCGUACUAGAGUAAACACAUGGACUAUAAACUGGAACAAAUUAGAUGAACACACACAUACACAAAUACGAAUAUGAUACUACAGGAUACUGUUCUAAUACUCUCGAUGAACAAAAUAAGUACUACUAAUCAAGCACAAAUCUGAAACUGACCAAGUUUCAAGCACAAUUCAAAUCUGAACAUUAGAAGGCAUUACACAUCUCAGCUUAUAGAAAUUUAGAGAAUAUAGAGAGGAUAAAAGAGAGAUAGCAGCAGUUUAUGGUUCAAAUUAGGAGCAGCAUGGGAAUUUGAGAAAAGGUGCAGCAAGAAAGAGGAGCAGCGACAGUUUUGGGGAGAAGUAAUAGCAGCCAGCAGUUGGUUCAUAUAAGGAGCAGCAGCCUAUAACAGAGGCGUGAGGAGAAGGGAGCAGCAGCAGUUAUGGUUCAGGGAGGAAGACGAGGAGACAGCAGCAGGAGGUCAAGGGGAAAAAGAAGAAGCAGUGGGGGCAUGGAGAGAAGAGCAACUUCAUGAGUUAGGAGAAGUAGAGCAGCAAAACUGGGGCGCCCUCACGCGCAUGACCAGACACCUGUGCUCCCCUUUGUCUGGUUGGUCGCGCGAGGUACGGCGGUGGCUGGAGAUGGUGGAGGGAUGGCGCAGUGAAGGUGGAGAUGGAUCGAUGAUGGUGGAUGCUGGUGAUGGCGCGGUGGCGCGGCUAUGAUGGAUGAAUGGUGUAGGGGAAGGAGAGUGGUGGCGCGCGGUGGUGCUGGUGGUGAUGGUGAUGUGGUGGGAGCGCGAUGGCACGGGUGGAGGUGUUGCGGGGUUGUGGAGCAGGUGGAGGUGCUGGGUGGCGCGCCGCCACGCCGGCCUGGCCGCGGCGGCGGCCGGAGGUGGAAGAAGGAGGCGGGGGAAAGAGGGGAUGGAGAUGCCAGGCACGAAAGGGGAUUAGCUCUUGCUAGGGAUUUUGACCCCUCCUCUGAUCUGCCACUUUGCAAUUUUGGCCCUUCU
rnacentral:lncRNA from 1 species